rnacentral:rRNA from 1 species
UGCAGUCGACGAGAAGGGGAGCAAUCCCUGAGUAAAGUGGCGUACUGGUGAGUAACACGUGGAUAUCUACCUCUUGGUGGGGAAUAACCUGGGGAAACCUGGGCUAAUACCGCAUAAGUUCGUGAGAAGAAAGGCGCAAGCCGCCGAGAGAGGAGUCCGCGGUCGAUUAGGUAGUUGGCGGGGUAAGAGCCCACCAAGCCAAAGAUCGAUAGCCGGCCUGAGAGGGCACACGGCCACACUGGCACUGAAACACGGGCCAGACUCCUACGGGAGGCAGCAGUGGGGAAUCUUGCACAAUGGGGGAAACCCUGAUGCAGCGACGCCGCGUGAGCGAUGAAGCCCUUCGGGGUGUAAAGCUCUUUCGGCAGGAACGAUAAUGACGGUACCUGCAGAAGAAGCUGCGGCUAACUACGUGCCAGCAGCCGCGGUAAUACGUAGGCAGCAAGCGUUGUUCGGAAUUACUGGGCGUAAAGAGUGUGUAGGUGGUGUCGUAAGUUUGGUGUGAAAUCUCCCGGCUUAACUGGGAGGGUGCGCCGAAGACUGCGAUGCUGGAGUAUGGGAGAGGAAAGCGGAAUUCCUGGUGUAGCGGUGAAAUGCGUAGAUAUCAGGAGGAACACCUGCGGUGUAGACGGCUUUCUGGACCAUUACUGACACUGAGACACGAAAGCGUGGGUAGCAAACAGGAUUAGAUACCCUGGUAGUCCACGCCCUAAACGAUGCAUACUUGGUGUGAGCCAUUCAGUUGGUUCGUGCCGGAGCUAACGCGUUAAGUAUGCCGCCUGGGGAGUACGG